GAUGAACGCUGGCGGCGUGCCUAAUACAUGCAAGUCGAGCGAACAGACGAGGAGCUUGCUCCUCUGACGUUAGCGGCGGACGGGUGAGUAACACGUGGAUAACCUACCUAUAAGACUGGGAUAACUUCGGGAAACCGGAGCUAAUACCGGAUAAUAUAUUGAACCGCAUGGUUCAAUAGUGAAAGACGGUUUUGCUGUCACUUAUAGAUGGAUCCGCGCCGCAUUAGCUAGUUGGUAAGGUAACGACUUACCAAGGCGACGAUGCGUAGCCGACCUGAGAGGGUGAUCGGCCACACUGGAACUGAGACACGGUCCAGACUCCUACGGGAGGCAGCAGUAGGGAAUCUUCCGCAAUGGGCGAAAGCCUGACGGAGCAACGCCGCGUGAGUGAUGAAGGUCUUCGGAUCGUAAAACUCUGUUAUUAGGGAAGAACAAAUGUGUAAGUAACUAUGCACGUCUUGACGGUACCUAAUCAGAAAGCCACGGCUAACUACGU
rnacentral:rRNA from 1 species